GGGUGCAGUUCACUGGCAUUAACAGCUGGCGUACGCGUUGCAGCGGCGGCGUGAUUUUGCUGAGGCAAAGCAAUAAAUUUUAUGAAAAUAUUUUUCCAUUUGGUGCAAAGGUAUGUUGUGGGGUAAUAAUCGUGAUCGGCAGCCACGUGUCGUCAACGCCGUCACUGUUGUCGAACGCUUGUUGUUCGUGGCACCGCAGAAUGUCAACCUUUUGUGGCUUCAUUAUGCAGCGCACACCGUCGGACUUGGCGCAGCGGUGGGUCGCCGCAUUUUCCACACUUUCAUGCAGUUACGAAUGUAUGUAACUGUAUUUAUACAUAUACAUACAUUCUUAUAUACAUAGAUGGCGAAGGCGCGCGCUGUUUUGAACUCUACGAGGCGUUGUUGUUGAAUUUACGAGCCGCCAAGACCGACGGCUCUCCUUGCUGUUAGUUGGGGUCACCGCCAUAAGCACCAGCCCAGCCAUCGCCAACGCGUCAACGCGUUCACGUGCGAAAGUAGCUGGCUGCAAACAAACAAUCAAACCAAAAACAAAAAACAUUCCACAUUCGACAGCUGCGCGAGUGACAGCAGCUGCAACCAAAGUCUGUUGACAAUCCAUCGUAUAAUCGGCGAAUGUUUUACUGCGCGUAGGGCCGCCAUUGAUUUUUACUGAUUUACGGAAGCUUUUUUGUUGGCUUUUUCAUGGAUUUCACAAUUUGUUUUUGUUGUGGCAGCGCGCUGCGCCUACAAGUCGUGCCAUCGACAGCAACCCACAAGCCUUUGUCACCCCAAAAUAUCUUUGCUCACACACACACACACACACACAUACAUUAAGGCUCACCUACAUUGUUUGUCGUCAUUGUCACCGCUGUUGUCGUCAAUGUCCAAGUCGUGAGUUUCGAUUUGAUUUCAGUUUGAAUUUGAUUUGUGCCACUUAUUCGUGCCGUUGCACGUGGCUUUCUACGAAAUCGCUCUUUGUUUCAAUUUAAAAUUCAUUUAAGCAAAGUUCACAUCUGCGAGCACAAUUUAAGGUCUCUCGUAUUAUAAUAUUUUUCUCCGGAAAAGAAAAUUUCUGGGACAGUCGAUUUUCAGAAACUUCUGCUUAGGUGGAAUUAUUCGUCAAAUUGUAGGCAGGAACACUUACUUGGUACAAGGAUCGGACUUCAAUGUGUAUGCAUAAUAAAUUCCCAACUGAGCUUUUGUAGCUUUGGCCUACCUUUGUUCUAAUGGAACCCAAUUUCUCUCCUAUUGACCAAAACUGGCCGCUUUUGGAUAAAUUUAAGCCGAAAAAUCCUCCUCACCACCAGACAGCUUUUUUCUGAGUGUCUUCUGGAGAUCGGCUGGGAGAUCAAGGGAAUACACAAUUUUCAAAAAUGGAUCACCGAUUAUUAAAGUCUAUUAAAUUCUGUGAAUCUACAUUACUUUUAUAAGUCUUUGAA